rnacentral:misc_RNA from 1 species
AAGUCGUAACAAGGUCUCCGUAGGUGAACCUGCGGAAGGAUCAUUAACACGUAUCCACGUAUCAACCAAUGAGAACCUGUUUUCCCGUCUCCCUGUGCAAAGAAUGAAUUGGAACCAGUUUGAGGGAGUGAUGGGACCGAAAGGUCGGCCUUCCUGGUAUACUUACGUAAAUAGAAAUGUUUGCGUAGACAAUUGUAUUUUUGUUACAGGCUAUUUCUUAUCGCUUUGAUCCCCAUCAUGAUCGUGGCGGUAGGGAAACUUUCACUAUAUUUACCUUUUUUGCUAGUUGACUUUUUAUAUGUGUUGUCUUGCGAAAGCAUGGUAGCACACGUUUAUUAAUUGAACGUUAAAAAAUACAACUCUUAGCAAUGGAUAUCUUGGUUCUC